rnacentral:lncRNA from 1 species
CAAAGCUGUCCUGGAGAAGAGCGUGUCAGCCAGGAAGCGGGGCCGACUGUUGCCACAUCAGUUGCCUACACAACAGCUACAGUACACCUUCUUCAAAAGCCUGUGGGGCAGCAGGUGCCCGGCUGAAGACCACUUAUCCCAGAGAGAUGGCCAACCACCACGUCCUCGUGAAUCACCUUUGCAAUCUGCUUCUGUAAACGCCACGUUGUUAGAACGUCUUAAAAUAUUGAUAUCAAAGAUAUCUAAUGGCUUAUAAAAGUUAUCCUUAUACAAUUUCAAUGAAAAUAUGCAAAAUACAAA